AUAUGUUGCAGUGCAGGUACAGCUUAUGUUCUCCUGGCUGGUCUAAUUAUGUCUGUGUCUCUCCAGGCAGGGUCUCAGGUGGAGCAGCUGAGUGAGUUGGAAACUUCCCAUGGGUCUCCUCCAGGACUGUCUGCACAUGCUGGCCCUCAUCUACACCUCCCUGCAGGCCAAGAACCCCCUCCGUAGGGCCAGUGCCCUGAGCUCUGUACCAGACUGGCUGCAGGAGCAGACUGUUGGUUGGCUGUCCGGGUGCCUGUCUGACUGUCUGUCUGUCCACUCUCGGCUCAGACCACACCGCAUACCCAUACCCGAUAGACUCCAUCACAUCUUGCCUUGCCUUCCCUCUCGGUGACAGGUGUACACAGUCUGCUAAAAGAAGUGUUACAGUUCCUCCAGAAGGCCUUAUUAAGUGAAUAUCUCCAACUGAACAGGUAAGACAGCCUAUGCUCUUAAACCUUGGUCCUCUGCACCCACAGGACGGCAUUCCUUUGUUCCAGCUCGGUAGUAACACCCAUGAUUCAACUAAUCCAGGACUUAAUUAG
rnacentral:lncRNA from 1 species